UCAGGUGAGUUUCUGCCCUCCCUUGGUUGCUUGUGUGUCUUCUCUUCAAAAUCCUUCUAGUUUUCAUAAGAUCUACCCUUGGUUUGAAGUUUUAAAGUUUAAAGGGAGUUUUGGAAGCUUGGAGCUUUUGGAGCUUGGAUUCUCCACGCCUCCGAGUUAGGGAUCGCACCAACCCUCGAUCUUCAAGAGGUAAGUGUAGAUCUUGGUUUCCCUUGAGUUUUCAUGAAGUUUUAAGUAAGUUUUAUGAAGAUUUUAUGUUAGAAUGGGUAGAUAUGCAUGUUUAGGCUUUUAUAGGUUUGAUGCCCAAUGUAUGUUAUGUGAUGAUGUGUUGAGGAGUUUAAGCUAGUUUCUUUGCUCUCUUUGCUUGUGGGAGUGUGUAUGCAUGCUUGGGAGAGAGUAUGUGAGGUUUGGGGUUGUUUUGUGAAGUUUAGGAGGCUGGUAUGCACGAAGGCGGAGUUCUGAUGAACUCAGGUUCGGCCGCCGAAGGUGGUUUCGGCCGCCGAACGUGCCUGAGGAUGCAUAGGUUUGGCCGCCUAACCUUGCCCCCGAAAGUGGAGUUGUGGCUUGAAAGCAGACUUUCGGCCGCCGAAGGUAAUGUUCGGCCGCCGAAAGUGCCUGACUUUCGUCUCUGGAGUGAGGGUUCGGCCGCCGAAGGUGCCGCCGAACCUACCCGAGUUUCGUCUCUGGAGGAGACUUUCGGCCGCCGAAGGUGCCGCCGAAAGUGCCUGUCCAGCCUUUUCAUGGCUGUUUUCCUAUGCGUAUUUCUAUGAUGUUUAGAGGGGUUUUUGGGGAGUUUCUUAUGAGUUGUUAGCAUGUGUUUAGUACCUCAUGUGAGUCCAUCUGUGUAGGAUUGGACCCGAGGAGAGGUGUCUAGCCUCAGUGCUAGUUGACCCUGAGUUUGUUGAGCAGAGGCUUCAGGUGAGUAGAACUAAACUUAAUGUUUUACUUUAAGAAAUGAUAUGUUAUGUAAUGCUAUGUAUGUUUAUUUUGCUUGUAUAGUUUAGUGGUGGACAUGAGCAUGAUGAUAUAUGGACAUGAUAGAUGGACUUGAUGUAUGGUCCUUAUGUAUAAUAAGAAUAUGAUGAAUGGAAAGAGUAAAGAGUAAUGUUAUAAAGAGAUAGAGCCAAGUUAAGAAAGUAUAGAUAUGUCAUGUGUUGUAGCAUGAGAUGUAUAGAAUUGUGCUUUGCCUAGAGUGUUGGUAAAUCCCUUUUUGUUAUGCAUGAUCUUGAGAAAAUGUUUUAAAUGUUAUGAGUUUUGAAUGGCCCGUGAGGGAAGAAAGGGUUCCAAUCCCUUGACCCAAAGCGGAUAUGUUUUAAAGCAAGCUUGAUGACCCAUCUGGUAUGAGGUUCUAUGUUUUCAUGCAUAGGUCAAGCUGAGGUAAAGAAAACAAGUUUAAAGGUUUUUAUGAGACCAAAGCUUAAGUUUUAUGAAAAUGUUGAUCAUGUAUGGGAUUAUACCUAGAGUUUCAGGAUGUUUAGAGGCUUGCUACGGGUUCCGGCGGCCUUAAGCCGAUCUGAAUCCUAGCGCCGAGCAGGUCGGAGCCGCUACAGAGGGGUACCGGUUUCCGGGCUGUUACAG
rnacentral:lncRNA from 1 species